CGCCUGCCCUGUGACGAAAAGUUCAACGGCCGCGGUAUUUUGACCGUGCAAAGGUAGCGCAAUCACUUGUCUUUUAAAUGAAGACCUGUAUGAAUGGCAUAACGAGGGCUUAACUGUCUCCUUUUUCCAGUCAAUGAAAUUGAUCUUCCCGUGCAGAAGCGGGAAUAUAACCAUAAGACGAGAAGACCCUAUGGAGCUUUAGACACAAAACAGAUCUUGUAAACACUUCAAAAUAAAGAAACAAACUAAAAGAACCCUGCCCUACUGUCUUCGGUUGGGGCGACCACGGGGAGAUAAAUAACCCCCACGCGGACUGGGAAAACAGUUCUCACAACCAAGAGCUACAGCUCUAAUCAACAGAAAUUCUGACCUCAAGAUCCGGCAACGCCGAUCAACGGACCGAGUUACCCUAGGGAUAACAGCGCAAUCCCCUUUUAGAGUCCAUAUCGACAAGGGGGUUUACGACCUCGAUGUUGGAUCAGGACAUCCUAAUGGUGCAGCAGCUAUUAAGGGUUCGUUUGUUCAACGAUUAAAGUCCU
rnacentral:rRNA from 1 species